UAACAAGGAUUCCCCUAGUAACGGCGAGUGAAGAGGGAAGAGCUCAAAGUUAAAACCUGCUAGGUUUGCCUAGCCGGAUUGUAAACUAGAGAGGCAGCUUCCAGGCACGCCGUAUGAUAAAGUCCUUUGGAAUAAGGCACCAUAGAGGGUGAUAGUCCCGUACAUCAUGCGAGUAGUGUCUUUGUGUUGCGCUUCCAACGAGUCAGGUUGUUUGGUAUUGCAGCCUAAAGUGGGUGGUAAACCGCAUCUAAAGCUAAAUAUUGGCGAGAGACCGAUAGCGAACAAGUACCGUGAGGGAAAGAUGAAAAGAACUUUGAAAAGAGAGUUAAACAGUAUGUGAAAUUGCUAGAAGGGAAGCGUUUGAAGUCAGAUUGGCUAGUGUAUUAAUGUCUGGAACCUUGGUUCUCGGACUUGUGGUAUACAAGCUUGCCAACGGCAGUUUGAGGCUGUGGAUAAUAGUGGGAAAAAUGUGGCCUAAUCCUCGGAUUAGGUGUUAUAGUUUCCUGCACGAUACAUGGUCUUAGACUGAGGGAAGGCUGCAAAUAUUCAACCUUGUGAAUGCAGGGUUACUUUGCAUAGGUCGUUGGCUUAAUGAC
rnacentral:rRNA from 1 species